rnacentral:rRNA from 1 species
AUUGAACGCUGGCGGCAGGCCUAACACAUGCAAGUCGAGCGAGCGGCGGACGGGUGAGUAAUGUCUGUGAAAAUGCCUGAUGGAGGGGGAUAACUACUGGAAACGGUAGCUAAUACCGCAUACCAUCAGCUUUGCCCAGAUGGGAUUAGCCAGUAGGUGGGGUAACGGCUCACCUAGGCGACGAUCCCUAGCUGGUCUGAGAGGAUGACCAGCCACCUGGGAACGGAGUGCCGGUCCAGACUCCUACGUGAGGCAGCAUUGGGGAAUAUUGCACAAUGGGCGCAAGCCUGAUGCGGCCAUGCCGCGUGUGUGAAGAAGGCCUUCGGGUUGUAAAGUUCUUUCGGUAGAAAGGCGUUAACUACAGAAGAAGCACCGGCUAACUCCGUGCCAGCCGCCGCGGUAAUUC